UACGUAGGGCGCAAGCGUUGUCCGGAAUUAUUGGGCGUAAAGAGCUCGUAGGCGGCUUGUCGCGUCGGUUGUGAAAGCCCGGGGCUUAACCUCGGGUCUGCAGUCGAUACGGGCUGGCUAGAGUGUGGUAGGGGAGAUCGGAAUUCCUGGUGUAGCGGUGAAAUGCGCAGAUAUCAGGAGGAACACCGGUGGCGAAGGCGGAUCUCUGGGCCAUUACUGACGCUGAGGAGCGAAAGCGUGGGGAGCGAACAGG
rnacentral:rRNA from 1 species